UCUUACAUUCCCUACUCAACAAGUUUCACAGGGAUUGGAUCAGGAGAGUGAGAUUCCAUCACCAAAAGAGUUAGGAAGUAGGUCUUCUGGAGCAAGCAACAAGGAAGCAUGACCUUGCUUGAUAUGUU